GAUGACACGUGCAGCUAUUCCUUUCGUCAACAUCUAAUUCAAUUUUUUCUUUCCUCCCUUCAAAACAAUGUCGUGCAAUAAACCCUCUCCUCUCACGCUCUCUUCCAAAGGAAAUGACUCCGGUCAUGAUUUCUUGGGAGCAUAAAUCAGCCGUUGUUGCUACAUCGUUGCAGUCGCCACUAGGGAAGGAGUCAUCUCAAGUAGACAAUCAAUUGCUCGACUCAAAUUUUAUAGUGAUACUACCGGCACUUCUCUCGUACUAAUCUGCGUUCUGGGACUUGUCGUCGAUUUUACAGUGAUACUACACUUCCACUCUCUAUCAUCGUCCAUCUCUCCGCCACUCCCUCCGCCUUGAGUGUCGCCGGCUUCUGUACCCCGAAGUUGAUCCUAAAGUGGAGAAUGAAGACACAUUAGGCCCAAAUAACAUGGAUGGUUUUCUAUCUAACUUAGCAGAUGCUAUUCUAGGAAUUGAUGUCAAUUAUAAUCUCCAUUUUUAUUUGACUAUCUCAUUCAUUUAGUUUCUUCGUAUUUUAUGAAUCUUUGAUUGCAAA